AGUGAACGCUGGCGGUAGGCCUAACACAUGCAAGUCGAACGGCAGCACAGUAAGAGCUUGCUCUUACGGGUGGCGAGUGGCGUACGGGUGAGGAAUACAUCGGAAUCUACUUUUUCGUGGGGGAUAACGUAGGGAAACUUACUCUAAUACCGCAUACGACCUACGGGUGAAAGCAUGGGAUCUUCGGACCUUGCGCGAUUGAAUGAGCCGAUGUCGGAUUAGCUAGUUGGCGGGGUAAAGGCCCACCAAGGCGACGAUCCGUAGCUGGUCUGAGAGGAUGAUCAGCCACAUUGGAACUGAGACACGGUCCAGACUCCUACGGGAGGCAGCAGUGGGGAAUAUUGGACAAUGGGCGCAAGCCUGAUCCAGCCAUACCGAGUGGGUGAAGACGGCCUUCGGGUUGUAAAGCCCUUUUGUUGGGAAAGAAAAGCAGCAGGUUAAUACCCCGCUGUUCUGACGGUACCCAAAGAAUAAGCACCGGCUAACUUCGUG
rnacentral:rRNA from 1 species